rnacentral:rRNA from 1 species
UAAACAAAACCAUUUUUUUAGUGUUUAUAAAAAGUAUAGCCUGCCCACUGAUUUUUAAAGGGCCGCGGUAUUGUGACCGUGCUAAGGUAGCAUAAUCAUUAGUCUCUUAAUUAGGGAAUUGUAUGAAUGGCUUAACUUGUAGUUAUUUUAUUACGGUUUGAUUUUUAAUUUUUUAUCUGUAUGAAAAUUUAUAGGUCUUGUAAAAAGACGAUAAGACCCUAUAGAGCUUUAUGUGAAUAAUUUAUUUAUUUUAUGGGGGAUAAAAUAAAUAAAUUAUUUAUGUUUUGUUGGGGCAACAAAAGAAUAACUUAAACUUCUUUAAAAAUAAUAUCCUAAUUUUUAGAAUUAAAAAAGUUACCUUAGGGAUAACAGCGUCAUAAUUCUUAAGAGUUCUUAUCGAUAGAAUUGUUUGCGACCUCGAUGUUGAAUUAAAGAUUUUUUAUGGGGCAGUAUUUACA